GGGGAUGGAACUCAGUUGGUAGAGUGCUUGCCUUGCAUGCACAAGGCCCUGGGUUCAAUCCCCAGCACCACAA
rnacentral:tRNA from 1 species